CCUUUCGCUUCAUCGAACAUGCUCUAUCUCUAAACCUUAAAUAUUAUGGAGCAAAAUCAAUUCAUGUUGCUGAGAAUCACAUAUCAUCUGAAUGCAAAACCCCAAGUUGCAUGGGUGAUUUCCGAUCAGCGUUGGCUAAUGAAAAAGAAGCAUAUUGUAUCUACAAGACACAGUUGGGUGAAAAUCAUGAUAAGACUCAGGAAUCAUCACAGUGCCCACACCUGUUGACACAACAAGCUGUCUGACUUUUAUACAUUAUUUACAAACCAAAAAGAUUGGGAACAGCGUUACAUUCAUCCAGAAUAUAUGCCAUGCUCUGAUGUAUUCUGCCUUAGAGUUGGAACAGAAAGAUUUUGUCAAGAUAUGGUUGCCAUCAAGGAGAACUUUGAAAAGUGGUCUGAUGGCAGCAAUAAGGAUUCUCGAUUGGAAUGAUGUUACGAUACGAAGCUGUGCCAACUCGUGAUAUUCAAAUGAAGCAAGUCGGUUUGCAUGCUCUUUGGCUGAGGUUUCUCGAACUAUUAUUGCGUCCGUUGCAAGAAAAUACUUUUAUUGGAUAUUUCCAUAACUCACCAAGAUCGUUGAUGAAUUUCGUCGUUCGUUUUAUACCAGAUGAACAGCCUUUACUUAGACCACAUCAUGAUUCUUCUACCAAAUACCCAUAAGUUAAAUUAAUAAUUUUUAUAACAACAAAACUUGAUGCUCGGUUAGAUUUAAGAAAAAGAAGGUAAAUGAAACUUUUAAUCUAAGUUUUAUCUUUUGUAUUUCGAUUUAUCCGAAAUUCAUAUUUUCUCGAAUAUAACCAUGCUUAACACACAGUAACAAAUAUUUUAUAUAUGUAUAUGACCUGAAUACUUUUUAAUGAGAAUUUUGUACUUUCC